rnacentral:tRNA from 1 species
UGCCAGAUCGUCUAAUGGUAGGACGACCGGUUCUGGUCCGGUUAAUCUUGGUUCGAGUCCAAGUCUGGCAA